UCAUCGGGCAUCAAGGCAGGAUACACCCGGGAUGGAGUGCCAACCCAUCACAGGGCACACACACACACACACACACUCUCAUUCACUCACACAAUCACACACUACGGACAAUUUUCCAGAGAUGCCAAUCAACCUACCAUGUGUGAGUGAGUGAGAGUAUAGUCUAUAGCAUUGUUGUUCUUAUAGUGUCUGGCCAACCAAAAUUACCCCAAGAUCGCAGCAAAGAUACAUCCAAGAUGUCACAAAAGACCCAACAACAACAUCCAAAGAACUGCAGGCCUCACUUGCCUCAGUUAAGGUCAGUGUUCAUGACUCCACCAUAAGAAGGAGACAGGGCAAAAAUGGCUCUGCAUGGCAGAGUUACAAGACUAAAGAACAUAAAGGCUCGUCUCAGAUUUGCCAGAAAACAUCUUGAUGAUCUCCAAGACUUUUAGGAAAAUACUUUGUGGACUGACGAGACAAAAGUUGAACUUUUUGGAAGGUUUGUGUCCCGUUACAUCUGACCUUCAUUUUUGCCCAGACUGCACCUACAUCUCACAGUCAGGAUUCCCCACUCCUUCAUUGUCGCAUUUCUCAAUCAUAGCAGCAGAAGAGAUUUUACAACUCAUCCGGUCCUGUAAUCCUACCACCUGCCCAUUGGAUCAACUCCCUUCCGCUAUGCUCCAGACCAUCUCGCAAGACCUUCUGACCUUCAUUACCGCUAUCAUCAAUAGAUCCAUAACAUCUGGUCAUGUACCAACUACCUCCAAGUGAGCAAGUGUUUUUCCCAUCCUAAAGAAACCUGCUCUGGAUCCAUCAGACAUCAAACAACCUCCAAGAUCCCAACAGUCUGGCUUUAAAGCAGCUCAUUCCACAGAGACAGCCCUUUAGGAUGUCUCUGAGAAACUACAUGCUGCUACAUCAGCCAAACUGUCAUCCGUCUUUAUCCUCCUUGACCUCUCAGCAGUGUUUGAUACGGUCAACCACAAGACUCUCUUGUCCACCCUCAGGAGUCUUGGGAUUUGAGGAUCAGCUUGGGAAUGGUUCACUUCCUACCUGGAAGGACGCUGAUAUCAGGUGAUAAGGCCCACAGAUGGACCCACACUGCAUUUCCUGUAGAAAAGGAAGUGCCCAAAUUCUGACAGCAGCAGGACAGGAAGUGCAGUACCACAGUGAGGUCACACCUCUGCUCUUCAUCUCAUCACUCUCUUCUCAC